AGUGAACGCUGGCGGUAGGCCUAACACAUGCAAGUCGAACGGCAGCACAGUAAGAGCUUGCUCUUACGGGUGGCGAGUGGCGGACGGGUGAGGAAUACAUCGGAAUCUACUUUUUCGUGGGGGAUAACGUAGGGAAACUUACGCUAAUACCGCAUACGACCUACGGGUGAAAGCAGGGGAUCUUCUGACCUUGCGCGAUUGAAUGAGCCGAUGUCGGAUUAGCUAGUUGGCGGGGUAAAGGCCCACCCAGGCGACGAUCCGUAGCUGGUCUGAGAGGCUGAUCAGCCACACUGGAACUGAGACACGGUCCAGACUCCUAAGGGAGGCCGCAGUGGGGAAUAUUGGACAAUGGGCGCAAGCCUGAUCCAGCCAUACCGCGUGGGUGAAGAAGGCCUUCGGGUUGUAAAGCCCUUUUGUUGGGAAAGAAAAGCAGCAGGUUAAUACCCCGCUGUUCUGACGGUACCCAAAGAAUAAGCACCGGCUAACUUCGUG
rnacentral:rRNA from 1 species